AACGAACGCUGGCGGCGUGCUUAACACAUGCAAGUCGAGCGCGAAAGGGGCUCCGGCCCUGAGUAAAGCGGCAGACGGGUGAGUAACACGUGGGCAACCUGUCCUUGGGUGGGGGAUAACUACUCGAAAGGGUGGCUAAUACCGCAUAAGACCACGGCCUUGCGGGGCUGCGGUCAAAGGUGCAAAUCGCCUGAGGAGGGGCCCGCGGCCGAUUAGCUAGUUGGUGAGGUAACGGCUCACCAAGGCGACGAUCGGUAGCUGGUCUGAGAGGAUGAUCAGCAACACUGGUACUGAGACCCGGACCAGACUCCUACGGGAGGCAGCAGUGGGGAAUAUUGCGCAAUGGGCGAAAGCCUGACGCAGCAACGCCGCGUGGGUGAUGAAGGCCUUCGGGUCGUAAAACUCUGUUGUUAGGGAAGAACAAGUACCAUAGUAACUGAUGGUACCUUGACGGUACCUAACCAGAAAGCCACGGCUAACUACGUGCCAGCCGCCGCCGUAAUAC
rnacentral:rRNA from 1 species